AUUGAACGCUGGCGGCAGGCCUAACACAUGCAAGUCGAACGAGUGGCGGACGGGUGAGUAAUGUCUGGGAAACUGCCCGCUAGAGGGGGAUAACUACUGGAAACGGUAGCUAAUACCGCAUACUCUCAGAUGAGCCCAGAUGGGAUUAGCUAGUGGGUGGGGUAACGGCUCACCUAGGCGACGAUCCCUAGCUGGUCUGCGAGGAUGAUCAGCCACACUGGAACUGGGACACGGCCCAGACUCCUACGGGAGGCAGCAGUGGGGAAUAUUGCACAAUGGGCGCAAGCCUGAUGCAGCCAUGCCGCGUGUAUGAAGAAGGCCUUCGGGUUGUAAAGUACUUUCAGCGGGGAGGCGUUACCCGCAGAAGAAGCACCGGCUAACUCCGUGCCAGCAGCCGCGGUAAUUC
rnacentral:rRNA from 1 species